rnacentral:rRNA from 1 species
GACUUCUACCACAUCUAUUGACAUUAUGGGUCUGCAAGCUGCUUAUGCUAAUUUGCAUACUGACCAAGAACGUGAUUACUUCAUGCAGCGUUACCAUGAUGUUAUUUCUUCAUUUGGAGGUAAAACCUCUUAUGACGAAAUAACAUCAUGGUAACGCUGCAUGAAGUAAUCACGUUCUUGGUCAAGAUCGGAAGAGCGGUUCAGCA